rnacentral:lncRNA from 1 species
UGGCAUUUUUUGCAUUUUCGUGCGAACUUUUCGCAAUCUCCGAUCAUUGUUGGCCAGUAGUAUCCAUGGCGUUUGAUUUUCACGGCUAGCGAUCUUCCACCAGAAUGGUUGCCGCAGGAACCGGAAUUUACUUCCUCCAGGCACGUCAUGAGUGGUCCUGAGAAUCUCCAUUUGUAAAUUUCGCCGUCCACUGUCACAUAGCGUGCGGCCUGUGUUCGGACUUUGCGGGCUGCCCAUUUUUCGGUGGGCAGUUGCCCGUCGAUAAUGUAGUCUCGAAUCGUCUAAAGCCAUGGGGUAUCGCAGCUGUAAUCAGAUUGCUCCGAUGGUGGUUGUAUCGUAACUUCUUCUUCCUCGUCAUCUUGACCUUCUAUGAGAUUGACGACGAUUGGUGGUCCGAUGCUCG